GGGGUUGUGGCUCAGUGGUAGAGCACUCGCCUCUCACAAGCGAGACCCUAGGUUCCAUACGCAGCACCA
rnacentral:tRNA from 1 species